AAAGGAACAAAACUUUCCCACUCUUCCUCGAAAUUCAUGUUCUAGGUUUAAUUGUUAGUACAAUAAAAAAAAACUAAUAGUGUUAAUUCGUUCUUCUUGCCUUCCUAGGCUCCGCUCCAUUUUUUCCAUGAUUAUAGGUUGAGCUUUAUGAGGCAAAAAGAAAUCUAAAACAAAUGGCAAGCAUAUAACGUCAUGUCCAACAAACUUUCGAGUUCAAGUGAUUCUUCGGUAUCGGUUUUAUCUUCAUAAAAAUCUCUAAUAAAUAUAACAAAAAGGCAACUCUCAGAUUUUGAGUAUCCAAAAAGUACGAUAAAUAACCAGUAAUUAAGAAAAAAAAAGAGUUAAAACACUACAAAUCUGUAUUUCGAGAUAUUUCAAAUAUAGGAAGCUUCUUAUUAUGCAAAGAACAUAUGAUGAGAACUUAUAUGGUUCCACCAAUAAAAUAUCAUACAUAUGUUUUUUGUUUGAUGAGAGGCUUCCUAUAUUUAAAAUAUUUUGCUAUGCAGAUUUUAGAACUUUAAUUCUUUUUCUUCUUACAGGGGUCAUUUGUCGUACUUUUUUGGUUCCUCAAUAAUUUGAGAUUUGACUUGGUGUUAUUUUUAUCAGGUUUUUCAAUGAAGAUGAUAUAUAGUGAUAGUGAAGAAUCAAUUUAACAAGAAAGUUUAUCGGACAUUGUCAUUGAUAACCUCGAGGAAGUUAAGCUAGCCAAUUUAUAGGAAGAAUGUAUGAGAUGCAAUUUAUCAAGAUUUUCUUAGUGAACUCUAAGGGAUUGGAGAGAAUGCUAAUAUGUCGAAAAAUUCUUGAUCGGGAACUUUUUGACACAAGAUUAGAAUUUUUCUCCGAGAUCUUAAUUUUUUUUUUGUGCAUCACCUAAAUAAAAAAUUAUCUACAUAAAUUUAAGCCGAUCUCAAUCUUUUGCUUAGAAAUUUAAACUUAUAAGGGAGAGAGACAUGUUGAUGUAGUAUUAUAACUCUAUUUUGUAACGACUAAUUCAUAACAUGAUCAAUGCUUGAAUGGAUGUUUUGAUUAGUUUAUUGUCA